GGGGUCGCGUCGAGAGCAUCGUCUUUGUGGACGACAUUCAGAGGGUCGAAAUGGGAGUCCUCGCUCGCUCGCUCGCCCGUUGGGAGGAGGUGCGCGGGCUGAGGUCGCGACGCGGUACCGAGGUUGGAUCAACCACCGUAGUGUCGCGACGUCAGGCGCCGGGGACUCGAAUUUAAGCCAUCCGCGCGACGGUGCGCACGGGAGGCCAGCGUGUGCCCCCGCCUGCGCAACGAACCCGAGUGGGGGUUGCGUGGGGGGGCAGCGAUGCGUGACGCCCAGGCAGACGUGCCCUCGGCCAGAAGGCUCCGGGCGCAACUUGCGUUCAAAGACUCGGUGGUUCGCGGGAUCAUGCAAUUCACACCAAGUAUCGCAUUUCGCUACGUUCUUCAUCGAUGCGAGAGCCGAGAUAUCCGUUGCCGAGAGUCGUUGUGAUUAAUACGACAAGAAUGCUCCGCCCCCCGCGCGCCGAGACCGGGGCAAGGGGCGGGCGAAUUCGUUUUAGUUCCUUGGCGCGACCUGCGCCGGGGUUUGGUUUAGGCAUCCCCCCCGACACGGAAGGUUUGUAAACGCGUUCGCGGGUCGUUUGAUGUUUAGGCAUCGACAAUGAUCCUUCCGCAGGUUCACCUACGGAAACCUUGUUACGACUUCUCCUUCCUCUAA
rnacentral:misc_RNA from 1 species